rnacentral:rRNA from 1 species
CACGUAGGGGGCGAGCGUUGUCCGGAUUUAUUGGGCGUAAAGAGCUCGUAGGCGGCUCAGUAAGUCAGGUGUGAAAACUCCAGGCUCAACCUGGAGACGCCACUUGAUACUGCUGUGGCUAGAGUCCGGUAGGGGAGCAUGGAAUUCCUGGUGUAGCGGUGAAAUGCGCAGAUAUCAGGAGGAACGACCGAUGGCGAAGGCAAUCCCCUGGCCUGUACUGACGCUCAUGGCACGAAAGCCGUGGGGAGCAAACAGG